rnacentral:rRNA from 1 species
AUGAUCGUGUCGUCACACCUUCUUGUCGUUAUGUUUUACCUAUCAUGCAUUGACAUAUUUGCCAAACUUUGCCAAAAAAGGAUGACCAAUCUCUCUUCAAUGUAUUCGGCUAUUAACCAAAUACUAAUAUGUCAUAAGAUGGAGGUGGUCAUUCGUCCGUGGCCAAAAGUCGGAGUCGCUGUUUCGAGGGCAAUGGGUGAUAAGAUGAUGCUUGUACUUAGCCUCAUCGAUUGCUCCCUUCUUGGCGGUGUGUGGAGUCUACUAUCAAUAGCUAGACCGAGGGUGCCUUGUGUGCUAUCAUGUUCCAUGACAAACAUGUAUUGUGAACUUGUCUAUAUAGGGUUUCGCCCGAUUAUCCAUAGAUUAAAUUGGCAAUUCUCUUUGUCUUAA